rnacentral:rRNA from 1 species
AUGGGCCCUCAACACCCAUCAAUGCAUGGUGUUCUUCGACUGAUUGUUACUCUCGAUGGUUAGGAUGUUAUUGAUUGUGAACCCAUAUUAGGCUAUUUACACAGAGGAAUGGAAAAAAUCGCAGAAAACCAAACUAUUAUACAAUACUUACCUUAUGUAACAAGGUGGGAUUAUGUAGCUACUAUGUUUACAGAAGCAAUAACAGUAAAUGCACCAGAAUUCUUGGAGAAUAUUCAAAUACCACAAAGAGCCAGCUAA